UACAGAGGUCCCAAGCGUUGUUCGGAUUCACUGGGCGUAAAGGGUGCGUAGGCGGUCGGGUAAGUCUGACGUGAAAUCUCCAAGCUCAACUUGGAAAUGGCGCCGGAUACUAUUCGGCUCGAGGAGUGGAGGGGAGACUGGAAUUCUCGGUGUAGCAGUGAAAUGCGUAGAUAUCGAGAGGAACACCAGUGGCGAAGGCGAGUCUCUGGACACUUCCUGACGCUGAGGCACGAAAGCCAGGGGAGCAAACGGG
rnacentral:rRNA from 1 species